rfam:Lepisosteus oculatus linkage group LG4, whole genome shotgun sequence.
GCCAGUAGCCAUAAUCACUCUGCAACUCACAACUGGCAACCCACUGAAGCUAAACAGUUGUGAGCCUGGCUAGUACCUGGAUGGGAGACCUCCUGGGAAAAACUAAGGUUGCUGCUGGAA